GAAAAACUUAAGUAGCUGCGAAACUUUGAUGACAGAGCUUGUGGUUUUAUACCUUUGUAAUUGUUCCAUUAAAGAAAUAAGGACAAAACUUGGGGUGGCUAUCUUUGGGCGGUCAACUAAAUGCUUCCACAAUUAAAUAUUACAGCCAUAACAAAACAGGCUGUUGUUGCAGGGCAUCCUCCAGAUUUAUCAACCUCCUCCUUGAUUGCAGAUCUUUUUGGAAGUAACACAUUUUAUGUCAUUAACUUCUGAAAAAUACCACCAAAUCUUUUCUAGUAAAUUGCACCAGAAAAUUAUACAGAAAUACGAAGAUGGUGUGUGAAUGGGGAAGUGAUGGUGAUACAUGGGUAUUUGCAUAAUGAAAAUAAUAGGGCAUGGGAAGCAAAUCUUACAACGGAAUCAUAUGAAAUUUGCCUCUCUCUUUUUCCACCACUCCACUCCCCCACCUGCUCGCACAUGAUUUCACCCCCACAUAAAAAGGCCUCUCUCUCUCUCUCUNN
rnacentral:lncRNA from 1 species